ensembl:lncRNA
AAACAACUUUGGACUAGUGUGAUCGGAGUGCUUUUUUACAGUGGGGUUCGCAGGGUCUCUUCUAGUGGUCCUACCCUCAUAGUAGACAGACAGACGUCCUCUGUACUCUACGGAACCACCCACCGCUGGCCUGCGGGGUCCUCUCCCCCAUCUCUCCUCUCACCUUUCCUCUUCACUCCCUCACAGCGCUGGCCUGCAGGGUUCUCUCCUCCAUCUCUCCUCUCACCUUUCCUCUUCACUCCCUCACAGCGCUGCCUGCGGGUCCUCUCCUCCAUCUCUCCUCUCACCUUUCCUCUUCACUCCCUCAAGCGCUGGCCUGCGGGGUCCUCUCCUCCAUCUCUCCUCUCACUUUCCUUUCACUCCCUCACAGCGCUGGCCUGCGGGGUCCUCUCUCCAUCUAUCCUCUCACCUUUCUCUUCACUCCCUCACAGCGCUGGCCUGCGGGGUCUCUCCUCCAUCUAUCCUCUCACACUUUCCUCUUCACUCCCUCACAGCGCUGGCCUGCGGGGUCCUCUCCUCCAUCUAUCCUCUCACCUUUCCUCUUCACUCCCUCACAGCGCUGGCCUCGCGGGGUCCUCUCCUCCAUCUAUCCUCUCACCUUUCCUCUUCACUCCCUCACAGCGCUGGCCUGCGGGGUCCUCUCCUCCAUUAUCCUCUCACCUUUCUCUUCACUCCCUCACAGCGCUGGCCUGCGGGGUCCUCUCCUCCAUCUAUCCUCCCACCUUUCCUCUUCACUCCCUCACAGCGCUGGCCUGCGGGGUCCUCUCCUCCAUCUUCCUCUCACCUUUCCUCUUCACUCCCUCACCGCGCUGGCCUGCGGGGUCCUCUCCUCCAUCUCUCUCUCACCCUUUCCUCUUCACUCCCUCACAGCGCUGGCCUCGGGGGGUUCCUCCCUCCUAUCUCCUCUCACCUUUCCUUUCACUCCCUCACAGCGCUGGCCUGCGGGGUCCCUCCUCCAUCCUCUCACCUUUCCUCUUCAAUCCCUCACAGCGCUGGCCUGCGGGGUCCUCUCCUCCAUCUCUCUCCUCACCUUUCCUCUUCACUCCCUCACAGCGCUGGCCUGCGGGGGUCCUCUUCUCCAUCUCUCUCUCACCUUUCCUCUUCACUCCCUCACAGGCGCGGCCUGCGGGUCCUCUCCUCCAUCUCUCCUCUCACCUUUCCUCUUCACUCCCUCACAGCGCUGGCCUGCGGGGUCCUCUCCUCCAUCUCUCCUCUCACCUUUCCUCUUCACUCCCUCACAGCGCUGGCCUGCGGGGGUCCUCUCCUCCAUCUCUCCUCUCACCUUUCCUCUUCACUCCCUCACAGCGCUGGCCUGCGGGGUCCUCUCCUCAUCUCUCCUCUCACCUUCCUCUUCCCUCCCUCACCAGCGCUGGCCUGCGGGGUCCUCUCCUCCAUCUAUCCUCUCACCUUUCCUCUUCACUCCCUACAGCGCUGGCCUGCGGGUCCUCUCCUCCAUCUCUCCUCUCACCUUUCCUCUUCACUCCCUCACAGCGCUGGCCUGCGGGGUCCUCUCCUCCAUCUAUCCUCUCACCUUUCCUCUUCACUCCCUCCCAAUGA